UNCAGUUUUGAUGGCUUCAGGUGUUACAUUGU
rnacentral:piRNA from 1 species